AAAGGGUUUUCCAUAAAAGAUGUCUGCGACAACUGUUGAACAGUCCAUGUCUGCACAGGAGUGCCCCAGUCAUCCAAGAGGACUCUGGAGAGCUCUGGGAAAUGCUUCCUGCUGCAGCUGCUGGGCAUGCUGACCCAGAACAGCCCAUUGCUGCCUGCAUUUAGUGCUCACAACCUACCUGACAAUAUUUACUGCAUAACUGUCAGUGGUGGCCUUGGGUAUAAUGAUAACAACAUUGUGAACUUUCAGAUCCUGCUAAGAACGCUGCAGACAGCUGACAGGACAAAACCCCAGGACAAAAGCCCUGCAAAUCUUAGAGUUCCCAUUCAUUUUGCUGUACUGCUGUGGAUGUUCACCCUCAUGCUCCGGACAGUGCUGCAAGCUGUCAUCCAUGAGCAACCACUCACUCUGGAAAGUCAAGCUGGCUUGGAAGAGGUGCUGGAAACGUUGAGUGCAGUGCUAUCUUCUCAAUUCAAAACACAUUUGCUGUAUGGAAAAAGCAUCUUGCCUUGUGAAAGGACAGACUGUGCUGCUGAAAGGCUGAGGUGACACCAGGAUCAGUGACAUCCCUGACUCCCUGUGCCUUCCUGAGGCUGAAGCCACGUUUGCUGCCAGUGACCACAGAGUGGAAGAUGCUAAAGACUGAAAACUUGGGCAUUUUUCUCCUGAAUCCCAAGACUCUCUGCAGCUGUACACUGUCUGUCUCUUAAAAGAGCUUCUGGGUUUAUAAAGCUUUUUACAUUCUGCAAUAUUUAUCUGUAACUCCAUUAAAAAGAGUCAUACUGUA